AUGAAACACGUAUCGAUCGAAGUACCACUGAUGGUUCUUCAAAUUGAUGAAGAUGAUAAGAAAAUUAGAGAAUCUUCUUCUUUGCAAAAUCCAGAUGAAUCAAUUCAGUUAUUGUUGUUGUUGAUUCAAAGAAUGUGGAGACUAAGAAAUAAACUCAGAUUUAGAGUUUACAAUUGGUCAAUGAGUGGAGCUUCAAAUAUUGGAGGUUUGUUGAAGAGAAUCAAGAAGUUUGAAGUGGUUAAAGAAUACUGA